rnacentral:rRNA from 1 species
UACGUAGGUGGCAAGCGUUGUCCGGAAUUAUUGGGCGUAAAGCGCGCGCAGGCGGUUCUUUUAAGUCUGAUGUGAAAGCCCACGGCUCAACCGUGGAGGGUCAUUGGAAACUGGAGAACUUGAGUACAGAAGAGGAAAGCGGAAUUCCACGUGUAGCGGAUGAAAUGCGUAGAUAUCUGGAGGAACACCGGUGGCGAAGGCGGCAUCCUGGACCAACACUGACACUGAGGAGCGAAAGCCAGGGGAGCAAACGGG